CCCCCUCCUUGGAAUGUGGGGUUCACUUUCUUUUCCCACUCCCAGAGACCACUCCAAGGACCUAGUCUUGAGAUUGUGGUGUGAUAUUGAGAACACCUGCAUGAUCCAGCCUGCCAGAGGAGUUCUUUGGGAGACCUGGUACUACAUACAUGCAUGGAAGUAGAGGUUUUCUCUGGUGGAACUCAGACUGAUACAGUUGCCACAGCAAUUUGCAGGUGGGCACGUGGAAAUUCCUUUGAGUAAGUGGCUUUCACAAUAUCACAGAGCAAGUGAGUGACAA